CUCGGAGCCCGGCGCAGUGGAAAGCGGGCCAAGAAGCAGGGGUCCAGGUUCCGACUCUUGAUUCUAUCACAAAACACUGCACCCAAGGCAACCAGGCAGCUUCCGAAGACCUCAUUUUCGUUCUUGUUGCCCAGGCUGGAGUGCAAUGGCACAGUCUUGGCUCACUGCAACCUCCAUCUCCCAGGUUCAAGUGAUUCUUCCACCUCAGCCUCCCGAGUAGCUGGUAUCACAGGCACCCGCCACUACACCUGGCUAAUUUUAUAUUUUUAGUAGAAACGGGGUUUCACUAUGUGGCCAGGCUGUUCUCAAACUCCUGACCUCAGGUGAUCAGACUGCCUCAGCCUCCCAAAGUGCUGGGAUUACAGGCAUAAGCCACCACACCUGGCCAACAAUUUUUUAAGGAAAAGAAGAAAGGCAAAUUAUUGACCUCAGCUUCCACCUUAACUAGAAAAGACCAAAUGAAACCUAAAAUAAAAAGAAGAAAAGAAAUAAUAAAAAUCAGAGUUGAAAUCAAUGAAACAGAGAACAGAAAAUAAUAGAGAACAUCAAUGAAACAGAACGUUAGUUCUUGAGAAAAUUGUUAAAUUUAUAAAUUCUAGUUAGAUUGAUCAGGAACAAAAGAGAAAAUAAAAAUGACCAUUAUCACAAAUGAAAUGGAUAACUUUACUACACAUUCUACAGAUAUUUUUAAAGUCUGAGGCACAGAUCUUUAAUAUAAAAACACUUUAUAGUUCUGUCUAGGGACAUAAGAUCUCAGGAAAAAGAAAAGAAACAUCAAUAAAAGCACUUUUGCUCUGUUUUACAAAAUUGAAAAUCAAUCCCGUGCCUUGUCCAGGUUGUUACAGGUACACGAUUGUAAAACUGUAUGGUACCCGCUGUGAUAGACGAAGCCCAGCUUUACAUUUGAUCAUGUGCUUAUGUUUUCAUCUAUGGGGUCCCCAGGACCCCUGCACACAGUAGGUGUGCAGUAAACGUUGAGUAAGUCAAUAGAUGGUGGUGGUUGGCAUCGUCUUCCUAAUGUACGCUAGACUCUGUAGUGGCACAAAAGUCAGCACCUGGAAUCCACGUGGGUUUCCGUAUCCUCCACCAAAUGUUCACCAAGCACUCCUCUCUGCAAGGCCUGAAACAACAGAGGAGAACAGAGAUUUGGAACUUUGAGUUAAUAAUGGUAGUUAGAUGAUAUUUUGGACUCAAAGUUGACCCUAGAAUACUUAAGCCUUCGGAGCAUGUUAGGAUGGGAUAAAGGCAUUUUGCCUGCGGGAAGGACAUGAAUUUGGAGGAAUCAGAGUGUGGACUGUUAUGGGUUGACUAGGAUCCUCAAAAACGACGUUAAAGUCCAAACCCUCACUACCUGUCCUUCUGACCUUAUUUGGGAAUGGGGUUGUGCAGAUGUCAUUAGUUAAGAUGAGAUCACACUGGAGAUUACGGUGGGCCCUAAGCCAAUAUGAGGGGUGUCUUCAUGAGCAGAGGGAAAUCCGAACACAAUACAGGGAAAAGGAAAAUC
rnacentral:lncRNA from 1 species